rnacentral:rRNA from 1 species
AGGACGAACGCUGGCGGCGUGCUUAACACAUGCAAGUCGAGCGGAAAGGCCCUUUCGGGGGUACUCGAGCGGCGAACGGGUGAGUAACACGUGAGUAACCUGCCCUUGGCUUUGGGAUAACCCUCGGAAACGGGGGCUAAUACCGAAUAUUCACUGCUCCUCGCAUGGGGGGUGGUGGAAAGAUUUUUUGGCUGGGGAUGGGCUCGCGGCCUAUCAGCUUGUUGGUGGGGUGAUGGCCUACCAAGGCGACGACGGGUAGCCGGCCUGAGAGGGCGACCGGCCACACUGGGACUGAGACACGGCCCAGACUCCUACGGGAGGCAGCAGUGGGGAAUAUUGCACAAUGGGCGCAAGCCUGAUGCAGCGACGCCGCGUGAGGGAUGACGGCCUUCGGGUUGUAAACCUCUUUCAGCAGGGACGAAGCGUAAGUGACGGUACCUGCAGAAGAAGCGCCGGCCAACUACGCGCCAGCAGCCGC